rnacentral:ncRNA from 2 species
UUAUCGAAAAUGGGGUGCCUUAAUACAACGGGCUGAGAUCAAACCCUUACACCUGAUCCGGGUAAUGCCGGCGGAGGGAACAAAGAGUAUCUUUUG